UACGGAGGGUGCAAGCGUUGUUCGGAAUCACUGGGCGUAAAGGGCGCGUAGGCGGCCGAUCAAGUCGGGGGUGAAAGCCUGUGGCUCAACCACAGAAUUGCCUUCGAUACUGUUUGGCUUGAGACCGGAAGAGGUUAGUGGAACUGCGAGUGUAGAGGUGAAAUUCGUAGAUAUUCGCAAGAACACCAGUGGCGAAGGCGGCUGACUGGUCCGGUUCUGACGCUGAGGCGCGAAAGCGUGGGGGAGCAAACAGG
rnacentral:rRNA from 1 species